rnacentral:rRNA from 1 species
CUACGGGACGCUGCAGUGGGGAAUAUUGCACAAUGGGCGAAAGCCUGAUGCAGCGACGCCGCGUGAGCGAAGAAGGUUUUCGGAUCGUAAAGCUCUGUCCUAUGGGAAGAAAAUGACGGUACCAUAGGAGGAAGCCCCGGCUAACUACGUGCCAGCAGCCGCGGUAAUACGUAGGGGGCGAGCGUUGUCCGGAUUUACUGGGCGUAAAGGGUGAGUAGGCGGUAACGUGUGUCAGAUGUGAAAGGCGAGGGCUAAACCCUCGUAAGCAUUUGAAACUGCGUAACUUGAGUGCAGGAGAGGUAAGCGGAAUUCCUAGUGUAGCGGUGAAAUGCGUAGAUAUUAGGAGGAACACCGGUGGCGAAGGCGGCUUACUGGACUGUAACUGACGCUGAGACACGAAAGCGUGGGGAGCAAACAGGAUUAGAUACCCGCGUAGUC